rnacentral:ncRNA from 1 species
CAAAGGCUUGGUCCUGACUUUAUUAUCAACUUUAGCCAAACUUACACAUGCAAGUAUCCGCACCCCUGUGAGAAUGCCCUAAUAGUUCCCCGCCCGGGAACAAGGAGCUGGUAUCAGGCACAACCCUAUUGAGCCCACGACACCUUGCUUAGCCACACCCUCAAGGGAGCUCAGCAGUGAUAAACAUUAAGCCAUAAGUGAAAACUUGACUUAGUUAAAGCUAAGAGGGCCGGUAAAACUCGUGCCAGCCACCGCGGUUAUACGAGAGGCCCAAGUUGACAAACACCGGCGUAAAGCGUGGUUAAGUUAAAAAUCCUACUAAAGCCAAACAUCUUCAAGACUGUUAUACGUAACCGAAGACAGGAAGUUCAACCACGAAAGUCGCUUUAUCUGAUCUGAAUCCACGAAAGCUAAGGAACAAACUGGGAUUAGAUACCCCACUAUGCCUAGCCCUAAACAUUGAUAGUACAAUACACCCACUAUCCGCCCGGGUACUACGAGCAAAAGCUUAAAACCCAAAGGACUUGGCGGUGCUUUAGAUCCACCUAGAGGAGCCUGUUCUAGAACCGAUAACCCCCGUUCAACCUCACCCUUCCUUGUUUUACCCGCCUAUAUACCGCCGUCGUCAGCUUACCCUGUGAGGGACUAAUAGUAAGCAGAACUGGUACAACCUAAAACGUCAGGUCGAGGUGUAGCGUAUGGAGGGGGAAGAAAUGGGCUACAUUCGCUACCACAGCGAACACGAAUGAUGCACUGAAAUACACAUCUGAAGGAGGAUUUAGCAGUAAGCUGGAAAUAGAGCGUCCCGCUGAAACUGGCCCUGAAGCGCGCACACACCGCCCGUCACUCUCCCCAAAAGCCCCAAUCAGUUAACUAAAACCUAAUAAUCAAAAAGGGGAGGCAAGUCGUAACAUGGUAAGUGUACCGGAAGGUGCACUUGGUAAAAU